AUGAGUGUUGGCCCCCUGAGCUGUGUGGUCCUUUGUCUCCUGCUGGCAGGUCCAGCGAAUGCUGGUGUCACUCAGAGCCCCAAAUUCCAGGUCCUAAAGACAGGACAGAGCCUGACCAUGAGAUGUGCCCAGGAUAUGAACUAUGAGUACAUGUGCUGGUACCGCCAGGACCCAGGGCUGGGGCUGAAGCUCAUCUAUUACUCAGUUGGCAAAGGCACCCAUGAGAAAGGAGACAUUCCUGAUGGGUACAACGCAUCCAGACCAAGCACAGAGGAGUUCCCCCUCACACUGCCGUCGGCUGCCCCCUCGCAGACAUCUGUGUACUUCUGUGCCAGCAGUUACCACAGCCCUGCACAGCCACCUGCUGUCUGCACAUAA